rnacentral:rRNA from 1 species
ACGGAAGGCAGCAGUGGGGAAUAUUGGGCAAUGGGCGGAAGCCUGACCUAGCAACGCCGCGUGAAGGAAGAAGGUUUUCGGAUUGUAAACUUCUGUCCUUGGUGACGAAGGAAGUGACGGUAGCCAAGGAGGAAGCCCCGGCUAACUACGUGCCAGCAGCCGCGGUAAUACGUAGGGGGCAAGCGUUGUCCGGAAUGACUGGGCGUAAAGGGCGUGUAGGCGGCCGAUUAAGUCUGAAGUGAAAGUCCUGCUGUCAAGGUGGGAAUUGCUUUGGAGACUGGUUGGCUUGAGUGCGGAAGAGGUAAGUGGAAUUCCCAGUGUAGCGGUGAAAUGCGUAGAGAUUGGGAGGAACACCAGUGGCGAAGGCGACUUACUGGGCCGUAACUGACGCUGAGGCGCGAAAGCGUGGGUAGCAAACAGGAUUAGAUACCCUGGUA